GGUGGCGCUGGCCCGGCGUCUUGGCCCCGACCGCCCCGUCUGAUCCGGCCGCGGCGCGGCAGGCCGUGCCCUGGCGCGGGGCCUGGCGCCGCCU
rnacentral:tRNA from 1 species